AAAUUGAAGAGUUUGAUCAUGGCUCAGAUUGAACGCUGGCGGCAGGCCUAACACAUGCAAGUCGAGCGGAAACGACAACAUUGAMUCUUCGGAGGAUUUGUUGGGCGUCGAGCGGCGGACGGGUGAGUAAUGCCUAGGAAAUUGCCUUGAUGUGGGGGAUAACCAUUGGAAACGAUGGCUAAUACCGCAUAAUGCCUACGGGCCAAAGAGGGGGAUCUUCGGACCUCUCGCGUCAAGAUAUGCCUAGGUGGGAUUAGCUAGUUGGUGAGGUAAUGGCUCACCAAGGCGACGAUCCCUAGCUGGUCUGAGAGGAUGAUCAGCCACACUGGAACUGAGACACGGUCCAGACUCCUACGGGAGGCAGCAGUGGGGA
rnacentral:rRNA from 1 species